AUUUUGGACAAUGGGGGACACCCUGAUCCAGCCAUCCCGCGUGUAUGAUGAAGGCCUUCGUGUUGUAUUGUUCUUUUGGCAGAGAAGAAAAGGUAUCUCCUAAUACGAGAUACUGCUGACGGUAUCUGCAGAAUAAGCACCGGCUAACUACGUGCCAGAAGCAGCGGUAAUACGUAUGGUGCAAGCGUUAAUCGGAAUUACUGGGCGUAAACGGUGUGUAGGCGGUUAGGAAAGAAAGAUGUGAAAUCCCAGGACUCAACCUUGGAACUGCAUUUUUAACUGCCGAGAUAGAAUAUGUCAGAGGGGGGUAGAAUUCCACGUGUAGAAGUGAAAUGCGUAGAUAUGUGGAGGAAUACCGAUGGCGAAGGCAGCCCCCUGGGAUAAUACUGACGCUCAGACACGAAAGCGUGGGGAGCAAACA
rnacentral:rRNA from 1 species